rnacentral:lncRNA from 1 species
CCGACGUUCGCGGCGGCUUUCGGCUGGUGCUGAAAUGGGCCACGAACGAGUGCUCGAGCUGCGUAAAGGGAUGGAUACUGCCCAAUCGAAGACCAGAGUACCAAGCCCUGGCAGCCUUGCGGAGCGUGGUGGGGAAGCCGAUGCAGAAAAGAGCGUCGGUUGCCCCUUGAAUCGUCAUGAGAGCUUUGUAGCUCUCGAGGUGGUCGACUGGGUCGGUGGAGCCGUCGUAUGGCUCCACGUGCGGCAUCUUGAACCGACUGGGAAUCGGCUCGUCGAGGACCAGUCGGGAGAGAGGUUGGGCGGGCGACAAGUCGACGUCGUUCGAAGACCUCUGACCGUCCGUCUGUAGUUGGGCGAGUCGGCGGUCGAUUUCCUCGAACCGUCGCUCGUAGUCGUCCGCUCGUCG